ACACAGAACCAGCAUAAAAAUGAUCUUAUCUAUGUGGCUAUGCCAUUUUAAGUAUGUUUUGAUCAUUGCUCAAAAACUUCAAACAUUUUCUGUUUGUUUUUGACCGCACAUGGGUCAAGUUCACUUUAACAAUCUGUUCAAUAAUAUUGUGCCAGGUUAAUAAAAUUUCAUCAUGCUCAACUGUUGAAUUAAUGACAGUAUAAGCUAUAAAAUGCUUACAAAUUUAA